rnacentral:lncRNA from 1 species
GAGAAUGUAAAAAGACACGGACUCUUAGACAAGUGAUUUAGGACCACCAUUGCUACUCUGACAGCUGGGAGCAGAGAUGAUGACUGUUUUCUACCUAGCUUUCACUUCGUGUGUUUCUGUAAAUCUGGUGUCAUGCAGAAACAGGGCUACACAUUUGCCUGCUCCCUGCAGUAAUGCAGUUGUGUGGAGAGCCAAGAUUUAA